rnacentral:misc_RNA from 1 species
GAAAUGCGAUAAGUAAUGUGAAUUGCAGAAUUCAGUGAAUCAUCGAAUCUUUGAACGCACAUUGCGCCCGCCAGUAUUCUGGCGGGCAUGCCUGUUCGAGCGUCAUUUGUACCCUCAAGCUCUGCUUGGUGUUGGGUGUUUGUCCCCGUCUCCGCGCGUGGACUCGCCCCAAAGUGAUUGGCAGCCGGCGUACUGGUCCCGGAGCGCAGCACAUGUCGCGCAAACGAGUGCCUUGGUACGGCGGCGUCCAUAAGCCCCUCUCUCACGCUCUUGACCUCGGAUCAGGUAGGGAUACCCGCUGAACUUAAGC